UCAAGUAAGAAAGGGCAUACGGUGGAUGCCUUGGCAUCGGGAGGCGACGAAGGACGUGGUAAGCUGCGAUAAGCCUCGGGGAGCGGCAAGCACGCUUUGAUCCGGGGAUUUCCGAAUGGGGAAACCCAGCUCCGCGAAAGCGGGGUUAUCGCCGGUUGAAUACAUAGGCCGGCGAAGCGAACCAGGGGAAGUGAAACAUCUCAGUACCCUGAGGAAAAGAAAGCGGAAGCGAUUCCCUCAGUAGUGGCGAGCGAAAGGGGAACAGUCUAAACUUCGGCGCUUGCGCCGGAGGGUUGCGGGACCUUCGCAAGGGAUCGGCGAGGAUAGCGGAAGGCUCUGGAAAGGGCCGCCAGAGGGGGUGACAGCCCCGUACGCGAAAUCCAGACCGGCCCGGAAGGUAUCCCAAGUACGGCGGGACACGUGAAACCCUGCCCGAAUCCGGGAGGCCCACCUCCCAAGACUAAAUACUACCCGAUGACCGAUAGCGAACAAGUACCGUGAGGGAAAGGUGAAAAGCACCCCUGCUAGGGGAGUGAAAUAGUACCUGAAACCGUGUGCUUACAAGGUGUCGCAGCCCUGGGCUUGUCCCGGGGUGGCGGCUUGCCUUUUGCAUAAUGAGUCCGCGAGUUACCGUACGUGGCUUGGUUAACCCAACCGGGGGAGCCGAAGCGAAAGCGAGUGUGAAUAGCGCGACAUGGUCGCGUGCGGUAGACCCGAAACCGGGUGAGCUACCCAUGGCCAGGAUGAAGUUCGCCUAACAGCGAAUGGAGGUCCGAACCAGUGGACGUUGAAAAGUCCUUGGAUGAGCUGUGGGUCGGAGCGAAAGACUAAUCAAACUCGGUGAUAGCUGGUUCUCUUCGAAAUAGCUUUAGGGCUAGCCUGCGCGAAUGCUCGGUGUGGAGGUAGAGCACUGAAUGGUCUAGGGGUCUUACCGGACUACCGAAGCCAAUCAAACUCCGAAUGCCGCACCAGUCACGCGUGGAGUCAGUCCGUGGGGGAUAAGCUUCACGGACAAGAGGGAAAGAGCCCAGACCGCCGGCUAAGGCCCCCAAAUUCGGUUAAGUGCGUAAGGAUGUGAGAUUGCAGAGACAGCUAGGAUGUUGGCUUAGAGGCAGCCAUCAUUUAAACAGUGCGUAAUAGCUGACUAGUCGAGUGAUCUCGCGCCGUAAAUGAUCGGGACUAAACCGGAUGCCGAAGCCGCGGAUGCCCCCGAAUCUUCGGGGGUGUGGUAGGAGAGCGUUCCAUGGGGAGCGAAGCGGUGCGGGAACGCGCCGUGGACCGCAUGGAAGUGAUUAUGCGGACAUGAGUAACGAUAAUCCCGAUGAGAAUUCGGGACGCCGUAAUCCCAAGAUUUCCUGGGGAAGGUUCGUCCGCCCAGGGUUAGUCGGCCCCUUAGGCGAGGCCGAAAGGCGUAGUCGAUGGGAAACAGGUUCAAUAUUCCUGUACCAUCGGUUCGGCGCUUGAGCGAUGGAGGGACGCAGGAAGCUAGGUCGGCCAUCGACUGGACGUGAUGGUCCAAGCCCGUAGGGGGCUCCGGCAGGCAAAUCCACCGGGGCAACUCCGAAAGGCGAUGGGACCCCGAGCCCACGGGCAAGGGGGAUCGAUUGACGCUCGGCUGCCAAGAAAAUCUCCUAGCGAGCCGGACAGGUGACCGUAUCGUAAACCGACACAGGUGGGAUGGUAGAGCAUACCAAGGCGCGCGAGAGAAACCUCGUUAAGGAACUCGGCAACAUGGCCCCGUAACUUCGGAAGAAGGGGCCCUCCCCAGGGUGAUCUUUAUCGAAAGCCCCAGGGAGGCGCAGUGAAUAGGCCCAGGCGACUGUUUAUCAAAAACACAGCACUCUGCUAACUCGCAAGAGGAUGUAUAGGGUGUGACACGUGACCAAUGCCGAAAGGUUAAGGCAAGGGGUUAUUCCGCUUCGGCGGGAGAAGCUCCGACCCGAAGCCCCGGUGAAUGUCGGCCGUAACUAUAACGGUCCUAAGGUAGCGAAAUUCCUUGUCGGGUAAGUUCCGACCUGCACGAAUCGUGUAACGAUCUG
rnacentral:rRNA from 1 species